AUUGAACGCUGGCGGCAGGCCUAACACAUGCAAGUCGAAUGGUAACAGGAAACAGCUUGCUGUUUCGCUGACGAGUGGCGGACGGGUGAGUAAUGUCUGGGAAACUGCCUGAUGGAGGGGGAUAACUACUGGAAACGGUAGCUAAUACCGCAUAACGUCGCAAGACCAAAGAGGGGGACCUUCGGGCCUCUUGCCAUCAGAUGUGCCCAGAUGGGAUUAGCUAGUAGGUGGGGUAACGGCUCACCUAGGCGACGAUCCCUAGCUGGUCUGAGAGGAUGACCAGCCACACUGGAACUGAGACACGGUCCAGACUCCUACGGGAGGCAGCAGUAGGGAAUAUUGCACAAUGGGCGCAAGCCUGAUGCAGCCAUGCCGCGUGUAUGAAGAAGGCCUUUGGGUUGUAAAGUACUUUCAGCGGGGAGGAAGGGAGUAAAGUUAAUACCUUUGCUCAUUGACGUUACCCGCAGAAGAAGCACCGGCUAACUCCGUG
rnacentral:rRNA from 1 species